AGCGAACGCUGGCGGCAGGCCUAACACAUGCAAGUCGAACGAAGUCUUCGGACUUAGUGGCGGACGGGUGAGUAACACGUGGAAACGUGCCUUUAGGUUCGGAAUAACUCAGGGAAACUUGUGCUAAUACCGAAUGUGCCCUUCGGGGGAAAGAUUUAUCGCCUUUAGAGCGGCCCGCGUCUGAUUAGCUAGUUGGUGGGGUAAUGGCCCACCAAGGCUACGAUCAGUAGCUGGUCUGAGAGGAUGACCAGCCACAUUGGGACUGAGACACGGCCCAAACUUCUACGGGAGGCAGCAGUGGGGAAUCUUGCGCAAUGAGCGAAAGCCUGACGCAGCCAUGCCGCGUGGAUGAUGAAGGUCUUAGGAUUGUAAAAUCCUUUCACCGGUGAAGAUAAUGACUGUAGCCGGAGAAGAAGCCCCGGCUAACUUCGUGCCAGCAGCCGCAGUAACAC
rnacentral:rRNA from 1 species